AACGAACGCUGGCGGCGUGCCUAAUACAUGCAAGUCGAGCGAACUGAUUAGAAGCUUGCUUCUAUGACGUUAGCGGCGGACGGGUGAGUAACACGUGAGCAACCUGCCUGUAAGACUGGGAUAACUUCGGGAAACCGAAGCUAAUACCGGAUAGGAUCUUCUCCUUCAUGGGCGAUGAUUGACAGAUGGUUUUGGCUAUCACUUACAGAUUGGCCCGCGGUGCAUUAGCUAGUUGGUGAGGUAACGGCUCACCAAGGCAACGAUGCAUAGCCGACCUGAGAGGGUGAUCGGCCACACUGGGACUGAGACACGGCCCAGACUCCUACGGGAGGCAGCAGUAGGGAAUCUUCCGCAAUGGACGAAAGUCUGACGGAGCAACGCCGCGUGAGUGAUGAAGGCUUUCGGGUCGUAAAACUCUGUUGUUAGGGAAGAACAAGUACAAGAGUAACUGCUUGUACCUUGACGGUACCUAACCAGAAAGCCACGGCUAACUACGUGCCAGCAGCCGCGGUAACAC
rnacentral:rRNA from 1 species